rnacentral:rRNA from 1 species
CACGGGGGGAGCAAGCGUUGUUCGGAUUCAUUGGGCGUAAAGGGCUCGUAGGUGGCUUUGUAAGUCGGAGGUGAAAUCCCACGGCUCAACCGUGGACACGCCUUCGAAACUGUGAAGCUUGAGGCUGGGAGAGGAGAUCGGAAUUCCUGGUGUAGCGGUGAAAUGCGUAGAUAUCAGGAGGAACACCGGUGGCGAAGGCGGCCACCUGGCUCGCAACUGACGCUGAGGCGCGAAAGCGUGGGGAGCAAACAGG